rnacentral:lncRNA from 1 species
GCGUCUUGAGGUCCUGGUGUUCAAAAAAAUUCUUAGAGUGAGAAUUUUGGAGGAGGAAUCAUCUCAAAGAGUUAGUGUCCUGAUCAUAGCCCUGUGUGGAUCACCGUUGGAGGGCGAACACUUGGGCGCCUGGUGGAGGUUCUGCUGAAAUUUGGAUUAAGCGCUGCAGGUAUUCUUCUAUAACUUAAAUUUAAUCUUGAAUUUAUGUUAUAUAUGAUUGUUAAUCAUCAAGGAGAUACUGGUUUAAGGGUUUAAUAUUUAGGAUUUCUUUAUUAAAAUUUUGAAAUCCAUUAUGUUUCCACUGUGCAUGCCCACUCUGAAACCCUACACA